rnacentral:rRNA from 1 species
CACGUAGGGGCACGAGCGUUGUCCGGAUUUAUUGGGCGUAAAGAGCUCGUAGGCGGCUCAGUAAGUCAGGUGUGAAAACUCCAGGCUCAACCUGGAGACGCCACCUGAUACUGCUGUGGCUAGAGUCCGGUAGGGGAGCAUGGAAUUCCUGGUGUAGCGGUGAAAUGCGCAGAUAUCAGGAGGAACACCAGUGGCGAAGGCGGUGCUCUGGGCCGGAACUGACGCUGAGGAGCGAAAGCGUGGGGAGCAAACAGG